GGCCCAGUAGCGGAUGGUCCGCGUCUGCACCAUGUACAUGGAUCAAUUCGUGUCAUGCAGAACCUGCUCGUUCGACUCGAGCCUGGGCCG